rnacentral:rRNA from 1 species
UGGCGGCGAGUGGCGAACGGGUGAGUAAUAUAUCGGAACGUACCCUGGAGUGGGGGAUAACGUAGCGAAAGUUACGCUAAUACCGCAUACGAUCCAAGGAUGAAAGCAGGGGACCGCAAGGCCUUGUGCUCCUGGAGCGGCCGAUAUCUGAUUAGCUAGUUGGUGGGGUAAAGGCCCACCAAGGCAUCGAUCAGUAGCUGGUCUGAGAGGACGACCAGCCACACUGGAACUGAGACACGGUCCAGACUCCUACGGGAGGCAGCAGUGGGGAAUUUUGGACAAUGGGCGCAAGCCUGAUCCAGCAAUGCCGCGUGAGUGAAGAAGGCCUUCGGGUUGUAAAGCUCUUUUGUCAGGGAAGAAACGGCUGUGGCUAAUAUCCAUGGCUAAUGACGGUACCUGAAGAAUAAGCACCGGCUAACUACGUGCCAGCAGCCGCGGUAAUACGUAGGGUGCAAGCGUUAAUCGGAAUUACUGGGCGUAAAGCGUGCGCAGGCGGUUUUGUAAGACUGUCGUGAAAUCCCCGGGCUCAACCUGGGAAUGGCGAUGGUGACUGCAAGGCUAGAGUUUGGCAGAGGGGGGUAGAAUUCCACGUGUAGCAGUGAAAUGCGUAGAUAUGUGGAGGAACACCGAUGGCGAAGGCAGCCCCCUGGGUCAAAACUGACGCUCAUGCACGAAAGCGUGGGGAGCAAACAGGAUUAGAUACCCUGGUAGUCCACGCCCUAAACGAUGUCUACUAGUUGUCGGGUCUUAAUUGACUUGGUAACGCAGCUAACGCGUGAAGUAGACCGCCUGGGGAGUACGGUCGCAAGAUUAAAACUCAAAGGAAUUGACGGGGACCCGCACAAGCGGUGGAUGAUGUGGAUUAAUUCGAUGCAACGCGAAAAACCUUACCUACCCUUGACAUGGAAGGAAUCCCUGAGAGAUUGGGGAGUGCCCGAAAGGGAACCUUUACACAGGUGCUGCAUGGCUGUCGUCAGCUCGUGUCGUGAGAUGUUGGGUUAAGUCCCGCAACGAGCGCAACCCUUGUCAUUAGUUGCUACGAAAGGGCACUCUAAUGAGACUGCCGGUGACAAACCGGAGGAAGGUGGGGAUGACGUCAAGUCCUCAUGGCCCUUAUGGGUAGGGCUUCACACGUCAUACAAUGGUACAUACAGAGGGCCGCCAACCCGCGAGGGGGAGCUAAUCCCAGAAAGUGUAUCGUAGUCCGGAUUGUAGUCUGCAACUCGACUACAUGAAGUUGGAAUCGCUAGUAAUCGCGGAUCAGCAUGUCGCGGUGAAUACGUUCCCGGGUCUUGUACACACCGCCCGUCACACCA